GAUGAAGAACGCAGUGAAAUGCGAUAAUUAAUGUGAAUUGCAGAAUUCAGUGAAUCAUCGAGUCUUUGAACGCACAUUGCGCCCCCUGGUAUUCCGGGGGGCAUGCCUGUCCGAGCGUCAUUGCUGCCCUCAAGCACGGCUUGUGUGUUGGGCUUCCGUCCCUGGCAACGGGGACGGGCCCAAAAGGCAGUGGCGGCACCAUGUCUGGUCCUCGAGCGUAUGGGGCUUUGUCACCCGCUCCCGUAGGUCCAGCUGGCAGCUAGCCUCGCAACCAAUCUUUUUAACCAGGUUGACCUCGGAUCAGGUAGGGAUACCCACUGAACUUAAGCAUAUCAAUAAGCGGAGGA
rnacentral:misc_RNA from 1 species